UACGUAGGAUGCAAGCGUUGUCCGGAAUUAUUGGGCGUAAAGAGCGCGCAGGCGGUCUAUCAAGUCAGAUGUGAAAUAUCCCGGCUUAACCGGGAGGGGUCAUUUGAAACUGGUAGACUAGAGUACAGCAGAGGAUAGCGGAAUUCCCGGUGUAGUGGUGAAAUGCGUAGAUAUCAGGAGGAACACCGGUGGUGUAGACGGCUCACUGGACCAUAACUGACGCUGAGACACGAAAGCGUGGGUAGCAAACAGG
rnacentral:rRNA from 1 species